GCCGAUGUAGCUCAGUGGUAGAGCAGUGGACUGAAAAUCCUCGUGUCGCCAGUUCGAUUCUGGCCAUCGGCACCA
rnacentral:tRNA from 1 species